CACACCGCCCGUCACACCAUGGGAGUCAGUUGCUCCAGAAGCGGCUUGCCCAACCCGCAAGGGAAGGCGGCCCCUAAGGAGUGGCUGGUGACUGGGGUG
rnacentral:rRNA from 1 species